UACGUAGGGACCGAGCGUUGUCCGGAAUCAUUGGGCGUAAAGAGCGUGUAGGCGGCUAUUUAAGUCCUGCGUGAAAUCCUGCGGCUCAACCGCAGACGGUCGUGGGAAACUGGAUGGCUAGAGUGCGGGAGAGGAGAGUGGAAUUCCCAGUGUAGAGGUGAAAUUCGUAGAUAUUGGGAAGAACACCGGUGGCGAAGGCGGCUCACUGGCUCGUAUCUGACGCUCAGGCGCGACAGCGUGGGGAUCAAACAGG
rnacentral:rRNA from 1 species